rnacentral:piRNA from 1 species
UAAAUGAGAAAUUGACAGCCCUUGA